rnacentral:rRNA from 1 species
GACGAACCGUGCAAACGUUGUUCGGAAUCACUGGGCUUAAAGGGCGCGUAGGCGGCUCGCCAAGUCGGGGGUGAAAUCUUUCGGCUCAACCGGAAAAGUGCCUUCGAUACUGGCGGGCUGGAGGGAGGUAGGGGCAUGUGGAACUUCCGGUGGAGCGGUGAAAUGCGUUGAUAUCGGAAGGAACGCCGGUGGCGAAAGCGGUUCUCUGGGACGUGACUGACGCUGAGACGCGAAAGCGUGGGGAGCGAACAGG